GAUGAACGCUGGCGGCGUGCUUAACACAUGCAAGUCGAACGGUGAACGAGGGAGCUUGCUCCCUCCGGAUCAGUGGCGAACGGGUGAGUAACACGUGAGCAAUCUGCCCUGGACUCUGGGAUAAGCGUUGGAAACGACGUCUAAUACCGGAUACGAGACGUGAAGGCAUCUUCAACGUCUGGAAAGAACUUCGGUCCAGGAUGAGCUCGCGGCCUAUCAGGUAGUUGGUGAGGUAACGGCUCACCAAGCCUACGACGGGUAGCCGGCCUGAGAGGGUGACCGGCCACACUGGGACUGAGACACGGCCCAGACUCCUACGGGAGGCAGCAGUGGGGAAUAUUGCACAAUGGGCGAAAGCCUGAUGCAGCAACGCCGCGUGAGGGACGACGGCCUUCGGGUUGUAAACCUCUUUUAGCAGGGAAGAAGCGAAAGUGACGGUACCUGCAGAAAAAGCACCGGCUAACUACGUGCCAGCAGCCGCAGUAACAC
rnacentral:rRNA from 1 species